CUUUUAUAGUAAAUAAUAUUACAUUUAAUUUCGACUUAAAAAUUGAUUAAUUUAAUCUAAGAGAC
rnacentral:tRNA from 1 species